AGAGUUUGAUCAUGGCUCAGAACGAACGCUGGCGGCAUGGCUAAGACAUGCAAGUCGAACGAGACAUGUAGCAAUAUAUGUUUAGUGGCGAAAGGGUGAGGAAUAGAUAGGAACGUACCUCGAACUCCAGGAUAGCGUCCCGAAAGGGGCAGUAAUACUGGAUAACGUAGUAAUACCAAAGAUUUAUCGGUUUGAGAGCGGCCUAUCUCCUAUCAGCUAGUUGGUGAGGUAAUGGCUCACCAAGGCAACGACGGGUAGCGGGACUGAGAGGUUGGCCCGCCACAUCGGGACUGAGACACUGCCCGGACCUCCACGGAGGGCUGCAGUAACGAAUAUUGGGCAAUGGGCGCAAGCCUGACCCAGCAAUGCCGCGUAUAGGAUGAAGCUUUUCGGAGUGUAAACUAUUGUCAGGUCCCAGAAAGUCCGUUUCGGCGGAUUGAUCAGGACCGGAGGAAGUCACGGCUAACUUCGUGCCAGCAGCCGCGGUAAUACGAAGGUGACAAGCGUUGUUCGGAAUCACUGGGCUUAAAGCGCGCGUAGGCGGAGUACCAAGUGUCUUGUGAAAUCCCCCGGCUUAACCGGGGAAUUGCUCGGCAAACUGGUAUUCUUGAGGUAAGUAGAGGUACAUAGAACUCUUAGUGGAGCGGUGGAAUGCGUAGAUAUUAAGAGGAACGCCGAAGGUGAAGACAGUGUACUGGGCUUAUCCUGACGCUGAGGUGCGAAAGCGUGGGUAGCGAAGAGGAUUAGAUACCCUCGUAGUCCACGCCGUAAACGAUGUCUACUAGGUUGUGGUAGUUCUGACACUUUCACGGCCGAAGCAAAAGUGUUAAGUAGACCGCCUGGGGAGUACGGUCGCAAGGCUAAAACUCAAAUGAAUUGACGGGGGCUCACACAAGCGGUGGAGCAUGUGGAUUAAUUCGAAGCAACGCGCAGAACCUUACCUGGGUUUGACAUGUUUGUAUGGCUGCUGGGAAACCAGUUAGUCUGCCCUUCGGGGUGAAACCUACACAGGUGCUGCAUGGCUGUCGUCAGCUCGUGUUGUGAGAUGUCGGGUUAAGUCCUUUAACGAGCGAAACCCUUGCCGUUAGUUGCCAGCGAGUAAUGUCGGGGACUCUAGCGGGACUGCCGGUGUUAAACCGGAGGAAGGUGGGGAUGACGUCAAGUCCUCAUGGCCUUUAUGCCCAGGGCUUCACACGUGCUACAAUGGGAUGGACAAAGCGACGCAAGACCGCGAGGUGGAGCAAAUCGCAUAAACCAUUCCUCAGUUCGGAUUGUAGGCUGGCAACUCGCCUACAUGAAGUUGGAAUCGCUAGUAAUCGCGUAUCAGCUAUGACGCGGUGAAUAUGUUCCUGAGCCUUGUACACACCGCCCGUCAAGUCACGGGAAUCGGGAGUACCCGAAGUCGGAUUGCUAACUUUCGAGAGGCGUCUGCCGACGGUAAGUUCGGUGACUGGGACUAAGUCGGAACAAGGUA
rnacentral:rRNA from 1 species